UUACCACAGUAUUUCAAUGUUGUUACAACAUUGGCAUUUCAACCCCGACCAUAUACGACGGUUCGGAUGAAAAAUCAACAUAGAUUCAAUGUCGUCUUGCUAUCUGGGGUUUUAUCUCCUAAGCUGAGAUGUGCACACUUGAAUGUCCAGUUUAGGAGUAACCCCUCUCUUAUCUUUGGCUGUUUUGGGGCAGAAAACCCAUCGAGUCUGACUGAGCCUGGAGGAGCACAGUCCUCGAUACGAAGCGUAGCUGCCGGCAGACACGGCAGAUCAGCUUGAUAUCAGCUCAUUUCAGUUUAACUUGGCUACAAACAGAACUUGAGCUCUGGCAGGUGGACAGCUUUUCACCCACUAAACGCUGACACUUUGUUCAGCACAGAGUGAGUAUAAAAAAGGAAAACAACCUUUGCAUCAUCCAAACAGGGGAAGGGUAAAACUGCGCACCUCGGCGAGCUUAAAAGACACUGACCUGUUUAUCGUCUCUGCUCGGCCACUGACCUUUUUCAUUCAGUGUCAACUCCUCGCCAAAGUUAAACAUGGCAGGAAAGCAAGAAAUACUAAAGCUGUGUCUUUUAUGUAGAGAUUCUGCUGUGGAGGACCAAAACUGCCAAAAAUAUUCACAGAAAUAAAAGAAAUUUAUUUUGAAAACAUGUCAUUCACAUAAAGAAGCAGAUCCACAUGACAUAUUUAGGAAAGGAGAAACAUUUAGGAUUUUUUGGAAACACAUUAAGGGGGAGAGGGUUGGUAAAUAACUGGUGAUUAAUAAGUUAAAAAAUAUAAUGUAAAAUUAAAUAAAAAAAUACAGAGACUGAUGGAACGGUAAGCACAUGGACAGGUGAGUUAAAGAAGUAAUAACUCCUGCAAGAUUUAAAUGAAUUGACAAAAUACCUGUUUGUUAUUGAUUUUAGAACAUAUUUAUUUAUUCACUAACAUUUGCAUUUUAUAUCAGUUUUGGUUUUCUGUAUAUUGUCCCCUCUCUUAUCACCAGAGGAACUUUGACUCCGAUGAUCAGCAUCCAUUCUUGUCCAGAUUUCUUUGGUUUCCGUCCGUAUUCUGAUGUUUUAACAGUUAAACGGUGUAGAAGAAUUUUCUGAUCUCUUGUUUCUGUGAGGUCAUUCACAGUGAAGUCUUUUUUAAAAAUGCAACGAUGGAGCAUCUGCAGACUUGCAGACGCUGUUUUCUAUUAUUAGAAGAAAAACCUUGCAUAGAUCGCAUUCCAGCUCCUUCUUUAGACUGAAGAUAACAGAGGUGAGUUUGCCUUAUUAGGAUCGACGUGUAGAAUGAGAGUUUGGAGACCUUCAGUGGAUGCACAUGACGCCAACCGUUCAUAUAAUGUUUAGUUUAAGUCUUGCAUCACAUUUUGCACAUUGGGAUUGUUGACAGUUCAGUUACAUCCAGAUUAGUUCAUUCAUGGCAGCCGGCUGCUGUGAUUGAAUGACUAUCACUGAAAUGAAUCUGGUUAGCGAUUGCUCAGCUCAGUCAAGUGUUACCAAAUAAAAAGCUUUUAUUGUCCAGAAAGGCAGAAUAUAUGGAAAAGAUUCACAGCAACAGCCUGUGGAUCUUUGGAUUUCUACAGAUUUUUAUGAUCAGGGUUUAUUGUUAAAGCAUCUGAUGAAUGGGGCCAGUUAUAUAUUUAGUAUUUCAUCAUUCUUGGCUCUGAAAAUCCUUCUAAUUGCUGUUAUUUAAUUAUAAUUAUGCAUUGAUUUUCUUCGAGUUCUCCCUGCAGGUUUUCUUAACGAGCUGCAGGUGAGCUGCUUCAUUAGCUGUGCUUGUGAAUGAGUCAUUUCUGGCAGCAGCUUCCAGCCACUUGCUUUAAAUGUCAGCCUGAAAUAUCUGCAGCACGCUUGGGUUGCUCCUGGCCAGCAGUGAGCGUUUCCCUUCAUGAUCCUCACCCAGUUCAUUUAGGACCUAGACAGGUGACACAGCUGCUGAUGAACAAACUGAACAAAAGACAUGAAGCUGGAGACACCAGUACCCAUGGUGACCAUGGAUGGAUGGGCCAGAGCAGGCGACGCUGAAGGACAUUUUAAAUUGAUGGUUACGGGUAAACUAACCCGAGUCACGUCUCCAGACGUGCAUCCAUGCAUGCACGUACAGAACAAACUACCGAAACCACUUCAACCCACAGAGCAAACAUGCAAACCCUGCACAGAGUGGCUCCGAUUCACCACGAGACUGGAACCCACAACCUUCUUACUGUGCUCCAGUGCCAGUUCAUGUCAGGUUACAUAUCAGAGUAACUGAAACGAAUCUCUUCACCAUGUCUGUCAACAGAUGUUGGAGCAUUUUCAGUUACCUAAUAAAUAACAUGUCUUGCUGUGGGGUUCAGUGUCCCAGCAGUCUUCUGCAAAAUGAGUACGUUACACAUUCUUAUCCCGUGAAGUCGGACACUGUUCAGUGCUGCUGGUGUCUCGGUGAUACGAUGAGUUUAUAUAAUUAAGUGCAGGAAAACAGACAAAACUAUAGAGGGGGGAGAAAAUGAAUGGAUGGCACAGAGUAAACCACAGGUUUAUCAGCCACGUCCUGUUUUUGGUUUUAACCCCCUGAUAUUUACCGUUUUGUGGCACUUCUUGUGUGGUUUCUCUGUGGGUAGCACCAACAUUGCUUGGCUGGGUUGAGCUAAAAUGAGGUUACAAUGUGAUUGGGUUAUUGGAGUUAUUGGUAAUUUUAGCAUCACUCUUAGUGUCCGUCACCAUAUUCCUUUCACUCCCAACACUCAAGUAACGAUUUACUGAUAUGACGCAUGCAGUGUCUUUAAAAAGCCGCAUUACAACCUGAGACAGCCUGUCAGGUAGCAUCAAAGCUAGCUCAGAAUUCAUGCUAUAAUUGGCAACAGUGCUCAAGUUUUUGGCCUUGCUCUGAUUUAAGACCUGCUAACUCUCUUGUUUCUUUCUCAUCACCGUAACAAAUGCAGCCCCUCAAAGAGGUAAGGUGUCAUCAUUUCAUGGCAAUAUUACAAACAACCCCGACCCCCCGCCCACGAGAAAUUAUCAGUAUCUUAGUAUCUGAUGCAAGAGGGGAGCUAUCUUACUCACCCCUCUUGUAAACAAUAUCUAUGCCAAAUAUCCGGCAGUGAGCAUAACUCGGACUGCAGACUCUGAGGGCAGGGGUGGAAUGAAUGAAGGUAGACAGGCUUUUAAAAGGCAGAGGUCAUGGCAGUGUGUCAGCUAGCCUCUGCUGACCGGGGGGUCUUUUAUAUUACAGACAAGUUUGAA